rnacentral:rRNA from 1 species
GUAGGGAAUAUUGCGCAAUGGGGGAAACCCUGACGCAGCAACGCCGCGUGAGUGAGGAAGGUCUUCGGAUUGUAAAACUCUUUUAUUAGGGAAAAAUGUCUAGGUGGCUAAUAUCCACUUAGAGUGAUGGUACCUAAGGAAUAAGCACCGGCUAACUUCGUGCCAGCAGCCGCGGUAAUACGAAGGGUGCAAGCGUUGUUCGGAAUCAUUGGGCGUAAAGCGCGCGCAGGCGGGUCAGUAAGUCAGGUGUGAAAUCUCGGAGCUCAACUCCGAAACUGCGCCUGAAACUAUUGGUCUAGAGUAUCGGAGGGGACAGGGGAAUUUCACGUGUAGGGGUAAAAUCCGUAGAGAUGUGAAGGAACACCGGAGGCGAAGGCGCCUGUCUGGACGAUUACUGACGCUGAGGCGCGAAAGCGUGGGGAGCAAACAGGAUUAGAAACCCUAGUAGUCC